AUCAUCUUUAGAAUUUGAUGAGAAAGUAAAAUUGCUUCCUCACUGUCUUCACCGGAUUCACAGGGGGAAAUGAUUCAGAGGCUUUUGCCUUUACCUCCUAGAGCAUGUUCUUGCAACUGUUGGGCUAGUCUUAUCUGGCCAAACUCUGUUACUAACAGAAUGUCUAGUUAUUUUGCAGGCACAGAGUGAAGAAGUGGCAAGUUACACGGCCAGAGCAUGCACAGAAGAAAACUUCGACCUCAAAUAAUACCUAGAACCAAAGUCCCUACCGCAGAACUAAAAGAUUGGGACAUGGCUGGAACUCAAGCGCCUAAACACUUUCAAAAGACUUUGCCUUCCAGUGUCUACUUGGCCUUCCAGUGUCAGACAGCUUCUUGCACAUGAUCCAUCCAGCUGAGGACACAGAUGUCAAAAAAAAAAAAAACCAUAAA
rnacentral:lncRNA from 1 species